UACAGAGGUGGCAAGCGUUGUUCGGAAUUACUGGGCGUAAAGGGCGCGUAGGCGGCCAUCUAAGUCAGACGUGAAAUCCCCCGGCUUAACCUGGGAACUGCGUCUGAUACUGGACGGCUUGAGUAUGGGAGAGGGACGCGGAAUUCCAGGUGUAGCGGUGAAAUGCGUAGAUAUCUGGAGGAGCACCGGUGGCGAAGGCGGCGUCCUGGACCAACACUGACACUGAUGAGCGAAAGCCAGGGGAGCAAACGGG
rnacentral:rRNA from 1 species